UGGAGACGUAUCCGGAAGUUUAGCGACAGAAUGCAGGAUGCCUUAAAAUUGAGCAUUUCCUAGUAAUAGCUUAUUUAGAUCUAAUAAAUAAGCACGUGCUAGUAAUUUUAAGUAAACUGUAACGCUGCGUCAAAGGGCUUAAUCCUGCAAUUUUGGAAGUGAAACAUUUUUUUUUCACAAUAGCCUGAGCACAUUUUAGGCUACUGAAGUUUUCUUCAGUAACAGAGCUGUGGCGAUGGAGCAGCAGACUGAUGUGGAGGCAGCUCGAGAGAGGGAGGCAGAUGCAGCAGAUGCGAUCGCGGAGCCGCCGUCCCUCUCUUUUCCAGAGGUGUUCCGCAUGAUUCAAGCAGGGGAGGAGGUUCCUGGACUCCAAAAGCUGGACAUCAAACCUUGUAAUGACCAGCCCACGGUUUCUCAAAUGCCCAGAAAGUCAAAGCCAUGGGAAAAAUGAUUGCUUCCUAAUUCUAAAUUGUGAACUGAUUUACAACACAUUUUGCUUGUAUGCAAAAGUCACAAAUUAAUUACCUUUUUUUUUAAGUAUAUGAUUUUAAUACAUAGCAAAAGCGGGAUGCUGAAUGUAAAAUAGAGCAUGCAACAACAACAUCAAAAAAAAAACUGCCUAACUUUCUCUGAUUUUGCAUCAAAAGCUGCCUGAAGAUGGUGGUAUUUGCAGCUCAACAGCUUAAGACGGUUAAAACAAACCAAAGCCUCUCAUGACUGUCAAGUGGUUCCUCAUGGUCUCAUGUGCUUGUGAAAGGGAAAUGCAAAAGGUUGACACACAUCCUGCUUCAGAGCUUAUUAGAGGAAGUGAACUUCACUCACAACUGGUCAACUAGCAGUCAAAUGUACAGAUCAGAAACUAGAUAAAGCAUACCAGAACGCUGUAUGGUAUUUUUUUUUCACUACAGAAUGAAUGGAUCAGAAUAGCUUGCUCAUGUUUUAAUAAAAUGCCUUGGGUAUGUUUAGUCACUGUCAA